rnacentral:lncRNA from 1 species
CCCCGGAUUAGGCAAGGACAAACCUGUUUCAGCGUUUGUUAUGAUGCUUGCAGCAUAUGCCUAAUUAGAAAAAAAAAAAAAGGCAGAAGCUGUGAUCGGCUUGAAAAAAACAAGCUGUGAUCGGCUUGACAAGCCGGUGCAUUCCUGUCGACACCUUUUGGUUCGCAACUGUUAAUGAAAGCCAUUUCCUAUUAAAUAAUAAAAUAAAGACGCACCUCUAGACUCCCUGACAGACAAAAAGCGCUGACGCGUCACUUUUACGCGAAUGCAAAUGAUGGCUGCGUGUCACUAUCACUUAUUCAUGAGGAGGCCCUGCGUGUCGUGGCGGGUUUACCUGCGCCAGGGAAGCUCUUUCCCCUCCAUCGUGGCGCAGCGCUGAGAGAGUUGUCAGUCUCCGGGAGUGACGAGAAGACAGGAGCGCAAGAAAAACAACAAGAGCGCCACUUGUUUCUUCAGACGGGUCCGGUUUAAAGAACUGAAUAAUGCGGCUCGUGACCUCGUUGUCCGUCGUCGAGCAUUGAUCGGAACAGAUAUAGUGAUAUCAACGUCAUGCAUGAGCCUAUAAUGGGAUUGCCUGCAAAUAGAGACGUUGGUGAAACCCUGUUCGUGGAGAGGAGAGAGGCUGAAGAGAUCAAGGGUUGCUCCGGCGAUGGUGUUGGUAGGAUUGGUCUCGAAAACGUUGUGAAUGUGAGACGCUUGGCCUCCUAGAUCAAAGGCCGGAGGUCUGGCCGCCAUCCCCGGAACCAGAACUUCCUUAAAGACCCAGAAUGGUCUCUUUUGCACUUGUAUUUGUUGAUUGACAUUGACCCUGAGAUCAAUCAUAGCUGCAGACUAGUAAGAUUUAAUAUUGAUCCUUGCUCUUUUUCACAUCUGUCAACAGGAACAGGGUGGCAUUUGCUCGACCAAGGUAGUUUUCUCUGUCAACUGGACUGGGUUUCUUCUCUUGAAGACGUUUCGCCUU